UAGAGUGACCAGUUGUCCCAGUUUGCCCGAGAGUGAGGGAUUUCUUGGGAUACAGGACUUUUAGUGUCAGUCCCAGGACAGUCCCAGGCAAACUGGGACAGCUGGUCGCUCAGGUGCCCA
rnacentral:pre_miRNA from 1 species